rnacentral:rRNA from 1 species
UGCCAGCCGCCGCGGUAAUACGGAGGGUGCAAGCGUUAAUCGGAAUUACUGGGCGUAAAGCGCGCGUAGGUGGAUUAUUAAGUCGGAUGUGAAAGCCCUAGGCUCAACCUGGGAAUUGCAUUCGAUACUGGAUGUCUUGAGUAUGGUAGAGGGAUGGGGAAUUCCGGGUGUAGCGGUGAAAUGCGUAGAGAUCCGGAGGAACAUCAGUGGCGAAGGCGCCAUCCUGGGCUAAGACUGACGCUGAGGUACGAAAGCGUGGGGAGCAAACAGGAUUAGAUA